GUAGGUGGCAAGCGUUGUCCGGAAUUAUUGGGCGUAAAGCGCGCGCAGGCGGUCCUUUAAGUCUGAUGUGAAAGCCCACGGCUCAACCGUGGAGGGUCAUUGGAAACUGGGGGACUUGAGUACAGAAGAGGAAAGCGGAAUUCCAAGUGUAGCGGUGAAAUGCGUAGAGAUUUGGAGGAACACCAGUGGCGAAGGCGGCUUUCUGGUCUGUAACUGACGCUGAGGCGCGAAAGCGUGGGGAGCAAACAGGGAUUAGAUACCCUGGUAGUCCACGCCGUAAACGAUGAGUGCUAAGUGUUAGGGGGUUUCCCGCCCCUUAGUGCUGCAGCUAACGCAUUAGCACUCCGCCUGGGGAUACGGCCGCAAGGCUG
rnacentral:rRNA from 1 species